UGGCUCAGGACGAACGCUGGCGGUAUGCUUAACACAUGCAAGUCGAACGAGAAGGAAGAGCUUGCUCUUCCUGAAAGUGGCGAACGGGUGAGUAACGCGUGGGUAACCUACCCUUUGGAAAGGAAUAGCCUCGGGAAACUGGGAAUAAUGCCUUAUAAGAUACGUUUGUCGCAUGGCAUUUGUAUUAAACGCUCCGGCGCCAUAGGAUGGACCCGCGUCCCAUUAGCUAGUUGGUGAGAUAACAGCUCACCAAGGCCACGAUGGGUAACCGGUCUGAGAGGGCGAACGGUCACACUGGAACUGAGACACGGUCCAGACUCCUACGGGAGGCAGCAGUGGGGAAUAUUGCGCAAUGGGGGCAACCCUGACGCAGCAAUACCGCGUGAGUGAAGAAGGUUUUCGGAUCGUAAAGCUCUGUUAUUGGGGAAGAAAAAAAGACGGUACCCAAGAAGAAAGUUCCGGCUAACUACGUGCCAGCAGCCGCGGUAAUACGUAGGGAACAAGCGUUGUCCGGAUUUACUGGGCGUAAAGGGCACGCAGGCGGUUUUUUAAGUCAGAUGCGAAAGGCCACAGCUCAACUGUGGACAUGCAUUUGAAACUGAAAGACUUGAGUAUUGGAGAGGCAAGUGGAAUUCCUAGUGUAGCGGUGAAAUGCGUAGAUAUUAGGAGGAACACCGGUGGCGAAGGCGGCUUGCUGGACAAAUACUGACGCUGAUGGCUCAGGACGAACGCUGGCGGUAUGCUUAACACAUGCAAGUCGAACGAGAAGGAAGAGCUUGCUCUUCCUGAAAGUGGCGAACGGGUGAGUAACGCGUGGGUAACCUACCCUUUGGAAAGGAAUAGCCUCGGGAAACUGGGAAUAAUGCCUUAUAAGAUACGUUUGUCGCAUGGCAUUUGUAUUAAACGCUCCGGCGCCAUAGGAUGGACCCGCGUCCCAUUAGCUAGUUGGUGAGAUAACAGCUCACCAAGGCCACGAUGGGUAACCGGUCUGAGAGGGCGAACGGUCACACUGGAACUGAGACACGGUCCAGACUCCUACGGGAGGCAGCAGUGGGGAAUAUUGCGCAAUGGGGGCAACCCUGACGCAGCAAUACCGCGUGAGUGAAGAAGGUUUUCGGAUCGUAAAGCUCUGUUAUUGGGGAAGAAAAAAAGACGGUACCCAAGAAGAAAGUUCCGGCUAACUACGUGCCAGCAGCCGCGGUAAUACGUAGGGAACAAGCGUUGUCCGGAUUUACUGGGCGUAAAGGGCACGCAGGCGGUUUUUUAAGUCAGAUGCGAAAGGCCACAGCUCAACUGUGGACAUGCAUUUGAAACUGAAAGACUUGAGUAUUGGAGAGGCAAGUGGAAUUCCUAGUGUAGCGGUGAAAUGCGUAGAUAUUAGGAGGAACACCGGUGGCGAAGGCGGCUUGCUGGACAAAUACUGACGCUGA
rnacentral:rRNA from 1 species